UGGGGAAUAUUGCACAAUGGGCGCAAGCCUGAUGCAGCCAUGCCGCGUGUAUGAAGAAGGCCUUCGGGUUGUAAAGUACUUUCAGCGAGGAGGAAGGCGGUAAGGUUAAUAACCUUAUCGAUUGACGUUACUCGCAGAAGAAGCACCGGCUAACUCCGUGCCAGCAGCCGCGGUAAUACGGAGGGUGCAAGCGUUAACCGGAAUUACUGGGCGUAAAGCGCACGCAGGCGGUCUGUCAAGUCGGAUGUGAAAUCCCCGGGCUCAACCUGGGAACUGCAUUCGAAACUGGCAGGCUAGAGUCUUGUAGAGGGGGGUAGAAUUCCAGGUGUAGCGGUGAAAUGCGUAGAGAUCUGGAGGAAUACCGGUGGCGAAGGCGGCCCCCUGGACAAAGACUGACGCUCAGGUGCGAAAGCGUGGGGAGCAAACA
rnacentral:rRNA from 1 species